rnacentral:rRNA from 1 species
CCUACGGGAGGCAGCAGUGGGGAAUCUUAGACAAUGGGCGCAAGCCUGAUCUAGCGAUGCCGCGUGAGUGACGAAGGCCUUAGGGUCGUAAAGCUCUUUCGCCAGGGAUGAUAAUGACAGUACCUGGUAAAGAAACCCCGGCUAACUCCGUGCCAGCAGCCGCGGUAAUACGGAGGGGGUUAGCGUUGUUCGGAAUUACUGGGCGUAAAGCGCACGUAGGCGGAUUAGAAAGCUAGAGGUGAAAUCCCAGGGCUCAACCCUGGAACUGCCUUUAGAACUACUAGUCUAGAGUUCGAGAGAGGUGAGUGGAAUUCCAAGUGUAGAGGUGAAAUUCGUAGAUAUUUGGAGGAACACCAGUGGCGAAGGCGGCUCACUGGCUCGAUACUGACGCUGAGGUGCGAAAGUGUGGGGAGCAAACAGGAUUAGAUACCCUGGUAGUCCACACCGUAAACGAUGAAUGCCAGACGUCAGGGGGCUUGCCCUUUGGUGUCACACCUAACGGAUUAAGCAUUCCGCCUGGGGAGUACGGUCGCAAGAUUAAAACUCAAAGGAAUUGACGG